ACGGGAGGCAGCAGUGGGGAAUAUUGGGCAAUGGGCGAAAGCCUGACCCAGCAACGCCGCGUGAAGGAAGAAGAUCUUCGGUUUGUAAACUUCUUUUAUGAGGGACGAAGGAAGUGACGGUACCUCAUGAAUAAGCCACUGCUAACUACGUGCCAGCAGCCGCGGUAAUACGUAGGUGGCAAGCGUUAUCCGGAUUUACUGGGUGUAAAGGGCGCGUAGGCGGGAGAGCAAGUCAGAUGUGAAAUCUGUGGGCUUAACUCACAAACUGCAUUUGAAACUGUUUUUCUUGAGUGCUGGAGAGGUAUAUGGAAUUCCUUGUGUAGCUGUGAAAUGCGUAGAUAUAAGGAAGAACACCAGUGGCGAAGGCGAUCUACUGGACAGUAACUGACGCUGAGGCGCGAAAGCGUGGGGAGCAAACAGGAUUAGAUACCCUGGUA
rnacentral:rRNA from 1 species